rnacentral:rRNA from 1 species
AACGAACGCUGGCGGCAUGCCUAAUACAUGCAAGUCGAACGAGAAAGUUCCUUCGGGGGCGAGUAAAGUGGCGCACGGGUGAGUAACACGUAGGUGACCUACCUAGUAGAAUGGGAUAACAGUAAGAAAUUAUUGCUAAUACCGUAUAAGUUCAGAGAAUUUGGAAUUAUCUGAAGAAAGAUGGCCUCUGCUUGCAAGCUAUCGCUACCGGAAGGGCCUGCGGCUCAUUAGCUAGUUGGUAGGGUAAUGGCUUACCAAGGCGAUGAUGAGUAGCCGGUCUGAGAGGAUGAUCGGCCACACUGGAACUGAGACACGGUCCAGACUCCUACGGGAGGCAGCAGUAGGGAAUAUUGCGCAAUGGGGGAAACCCUGACGCAGCGAUGCCGCGUGAGUGAGGAAGGCCUCGGGUUGUAAAGGCUCUGUCGUUAGUA